UACGGGGGGGGUAAGCGUUGUUCGGAAUUACUGGGCGUAAAGGGCUCGUAGGCGGCCAACUAAGUCAUACGUGAAAUCCCUCAGCUUAACUGGGGAACUGCGUGUGAUACUGGAUGGCUUGGAUUUGGGAGAGGGAUGCGGAAUUCCAGGUGUAGCGGUGAAAUGCGUAGAUAUCUGGAGGAACAUCGGUGGCGAAGGCGGCCUGCUGGGCUGUUGCUGACGCUGAGCGCGACAGCGUGGGGAGCAAACAGG
rnacentral:rRNA from 1 species